rnacentral:rRNA from 1 species
GAUGAACGCUGGCGGCGUGCCUAAUACAUGCAAGUCGAACGCAUAGCGAAAGGUGCUUGCACCUUUCACGUGAGUGGCGAACGGGUGAGUAACACGUGGACAACCUGCCUCAAGGCUGGGGAUAACAUUUGGAAACAGAUGCUAAUACCGAAUAAAACUUAGUGUCGCAUGACCCAAAGUUAAAAGGCGCUUCGGCGUCACCUAGAGAUGGAUCCGCGGUGCAUUAGUUAGUUGGUGGGGUAAAGGCCUACCAAGACAAUGAUGCAUAGCCGAGUUGAGAGACUGAUCGGCCACAUUGGGACUGAGACACGGCCCAAACUCCUACGGGAGGCUGCAGUAGGGAAUCUUCCACAAUGGGCGAAAGCCUGAUGGAGCAACGCCGCGUGUGUGAUGAAGGCUUUCGGGUCGUAAAGCACUGUUGUAUGGGAAGAACAGCUAGAAUAGGAAAUGAUUUUAGUUUGACGGUACCAUACCAGAAAGGGACGGCUAAAUACGUG